rnacentral:rRNA from 1 species
AUACGGAGGGUGCAAGCGUUGUUCGGAAUCACAGGGCGUAAAGGGCGCGCAGGCGGUUUGGUAAGUCAGAUGUGAAAGCCCACGGCUCAACCGUGGAAGUGCAUUUGAAACUGCCAGACUUGAGUACCAGAGGGGAAAGUGGAAUUCCCGGUGUAGAGGUGAAAUUCGUAGAUAUCGGGAGGAAUACCGGUGGCGAAGGCGACUUUCUGGCUGGAUACAGACGCUGAGGCGCGAAAGCGUGGGGAGCAAACAGGAUUAGAUACCCUAGUAGUCC